UACGGAGGGUGCAAGCGUUAUCCGGAUUCAUUGGGUUUAAAGGGAGCGUAGGUGGCCUGCUAAGUCAGUGGUGAAAUCUCUGGGCUUAACCCAGAAAUUGCCAUUGAUACUGGUGGGCUUGAGUGCAGUUGCUGUUGGCGGAAUAUGACAUGUAGUGGUGAAAUACAUAGAGAUGUCAUAGAACACCGAUUGCGAAGGCAGCUAACAAAACUGUAACUGACACUGAGGCUCGAAAGUGUGGGGAUCAAACAGG
rnacentral:rRNA from 1 species